UUUCGAUAGUGGAGGUGAAAUUCUCUUCUGGAUGUUUUGGUAACCUCACUGGAGGAGGUGAAUGACUAUGGAAAGACCAUGGCGACCCGCUUUUACAGUCGGCAACAGGAAGAUGCGAUGGUCACCAGAGCUACUGCAGUCGAUAAUUCUAUAAGAAGGGAUGGCAUCAAUGUCUAGCUUUCGGGGCUUGUUUUAAGUUGCCUGCGAUCUGUAUAUGGACUCAGGCAGCUAAAGCAAGUCUGGGAAGCUGGAGACCGAACACCUGGGGACAAAGCCAAUCUAUCAAGUCGCGAGCAUGCAGUGAUAGGCCUAUCUCAUCUGGACGGAAACCUCGUCAGGAUUGAAGGACCAGAGUUGGAAGAAAACAAACUCUAUUAGUGGGCUACGUAUGACCAGGAAAACCUUUCAGGAAGUAGCCUAAACUUUUGCCACACAUAAUUGAAGUGUGUAAAUCCAGUUGACAUGCAACGGAUUUGACGCAAAAAUGUGAUAAAAAGUAAUAAGAAAUCUUCGUAAUAAAAAUGUUAUAUAAGGCA